CAGAUAUUCUACUGAAACUCUGCAAUCCACCAAAGCUCCAGGUGCCCAGGCUUUUGCACAGGGCCCCUUCCAGUGUGUGAGGUGGAUCUGGAUGAGAAGGACACACAGUACAUCUGGAAGCGCCUAAUCUGGUGAUGAAGAGGAGAUGAACAAGUCAUUCAGCUCUUCCCUGGACACACUACUUCAUGGCCUGGAGUAUUAACAUAAACUGAAACUGAAUCACUGGAUGUGAUCUAACUGGAAUUAAAGGUGCAAUGUGACUGUUAUUGCAGGGUCAGUCCUUAAAGAACUCUGUUGCUUGCAUGAGGCUUAAGUCUUUGACAUAUGAGGCUGGAGGGAAUUAUGUGAUUGUCACAAUUAUCUUAUUUAUUAAAUCCCUUCUGCCACUGCCCAGGGAAGACAGGAUUCCAGUGUCAAAAAAUGACUUUGCAAUAGAUAAACUGAAGAUUGAAGGGAUGUGUAUUCUGAGCAAAUUUAAGUGUGGAAAAGUAUUGCCAAACAGUAGCUAACCUGCAUCUCUGCUUGAUAAGUGUCAACUGCUGAUGCUUAUCAACUUAUAAUAUACUACCAAAAAAAGGGGGGUAAGGAAGUUUGAGUUGCCAUAAUUUGAUAAAUCCUUUAAGGACCUGGGAUAUUUAAUCAACAGAUUUUAACUGACAGCCCGCAGUGCCUAUUUCCAGAAAAAAAUAAUGGAAAUGGACUGAUAAAAAUAGAAAUUAUUCACAAAAAUAGAUGAGCCUAAUGUGCGAAUCAAAUUGUUUGAGUCUGAAAAAGAGAGGGAAAGAAGGAAAAAAUGGUUACUUUGCCUUGGCUGGGAACCUAAAGAGUGGAACAAACAGAUUUGCAAAGGAACAUUACAGUUUACUUUCAAGAUAUGACAGAAGUUCAGAGUAUCUAGCAAAUCAGAUGGUUCUACUGCAUUUUGGCAAAGUCAUCUGGACAUAAUGAAUGCAAAGAUGUGCACAUUUCCCAUGUCCUUUGGGAGCUACAGCUCCCAAAGUGUAUGCUCAGGAAGAGUAUGGCAGGAGGGCAUGCCAGUGUGUGCAUGCUGCCUUCUGACCACCUUGAUGGUCACCGAAGUCAGGGAGAGGAAUACAGUGAUGAACCAGGGCUUUGAGCAUAAGACAAAAGGGAACUCAAUGCCUGCAUUAUUCCUCUGUUUGUUUUAUUAUGGUUUAAAAAGCUUUUAAUGUUCAUUUUAUCUGGUAAGUCCUGCAGACAAAACUUCUGAUAGGGCAAAACAAUUGUUCUUUCAUACAAAACCAGUUUUUCCCCACUGAUGCUGCAGUACUUUCCUGUAAUUCUUCUUCAGAAAAUUACAGAGACUUCUCUGCCUUUCACAGGCACAAAUCAGGAGUAUAUCCUUUGUGUCUAGUACCCAAAUUAACACCAGUGUACUUGGGACUGGAAUUUGACAUGCUGUCUGGAUUUGGCAAUGGACUGGAGAAACUCAUGAUUUAGGAGCUGUUGUACAAAAUAACUUGAAGAAAACAAGAAUACUUGUUCCAAAAGAAGGAUGGUAAUUCCCCAGAGAAAUGACAAUAUUUGAUGAAGCUAAAUCAAAAACUAGAGAAAUGUGUGUCAAAAAUAUCCAGGCCUAUGAAUAAAGCUGAAGCAUAUUCUUGCAAGCCUAUUUGGUACAUUUAGCCACAAACUUGACUGACACUUAAAAUAGUCAAAAAACCCAGCACAUGCAAUAUGAUGUUUAUCACAAUGCAAAGUACACAAUAUUCUUGUGUCAAGUUACCACUAGAAAUGUCUCAAAGGCUGACUCAGGAGAUUUUUGACCACAAUUGAGUGGUAAAGAUUAGAGAUUUAUUAUUGGAGCAUAUUGAAAUUUGACACAUUACAUCACAGA